GGAGGCAGGAGAGCGGGGCAGAAAGUGCAGAAGGCCGGAGCCCACAGCGCUGGGAGCUGUCCCUGCUCUAGGCCGGUUCCCAGGGCCAUCUCCCCGCAGGGAGCUCCGGGGCGGGGCCUCUGAGCUACUUACCUGACCCUCAGGCCCCCUCCCGUCUCCAGGGCAGAGAUCAGAAG